rnacentral:lncRNA from 1 species
UACUAUAGCUAUGGUGUAGCUUCCAUCCAAAUGAGUCGCUGUUUGUCUAUUUGUAAAUUACUUUUUGGACAGGUCCGGUGCCCGGUGUGUUCCAGAUAUUAACCUUUGGGGAACGCUGGACCGAGACGCCUCAGAUGCAAGAAGGGCUGGGAAUGCUAUGGCAGAUGCGACGGUAGAUGGGCAGCGGUGCAUGAGCAGCCCACCUCUGGCCAGGUCAGAGGACCCACUCGCCUACUGGCUAAAUCACAGACAUCGUUACACCAACCUUUUCAAGCGGGCCAAAAGAUUUCUAUGCAUGCCAGCAUCUACUGUACCCUGCAGAAGAAUAUUCUCCAAAUGUGGAGAAAUUGUGAGCAAAAAAGAAACUGGUUAAAUCCCAAUACUGUGGAAAAAAUAACGUACCUCAAUAAAAACGUUGAGUCCACAGUUACACAAGAAUACCCAAGCUAUGGCAUAUUUUACCAGCAUUUUCUCCUUAACAAAACAAAGCUCACGUGUGCGCCUCCCGGUCACCAAUCGCGGCUCCAACCCUGCAGUGCAGGGCUCGCGGGUCGCCAGGAGAGGGCGCUAGAACUGCAACUUCAGCCACAGUGGCAUUUCCCCAGCCUGUUCCUGGAGCGCACACACAGGUGAGAUUUUGACUGGCCCAUGUAGACUAAGUGCUUGCACCGGGAUCAUAUCCAGCAAAGUUCUGAAAUCAGCUCUACAUUGCUGGGAUCUCAUAUUUACCACUUUUUUCUUUUACAUUAACUUACUACCUGCCUGAUAUGAUCCUUCCAGCUCAGCCUCUGGUCAAAGUAGAUCCCAAGGAAGCGGAAACUCUCAACCCUUUCUAACACACUCCCAUAUGUUUUUAGAUUGCUCUCUCCUACCCUCUUUCUUGUAAAAAAAACUUUGUCUUUUCAGAUGAAAACUUAAGGCCACAUUUAAUUCCCCAUCUUUCAACUUUACUUAUUACCUCCUGCAUCCUCUUGACAAUAUACUGGAAGUUCCUCCCUCUUGUCCAAGGAGCCCCAUCGUCAGAAAACAGCGACCUCCCCGUACCAUCGGGAAUACUUGGAAAUAUAUAUUCAAUCAUUUAUCAUUAGUGAAUAAAGAUUUGGACUGACCACUGAACGCUGUGUAGCGUUUUCAACGAUGUUUUGUCUUGACAUUUCUGCCCCCAUCCUCACCUGGAUGGAUCUAUCACUUCGCUUUUUUACCCACUCUCACUGCUAUUUUCCUGCUGGUAAGAAAGUUCCUGAUCCAUGCUGUUGAUGUGAUAUAAUUUCAUAAGCAGUCCAUCCUUUCCCAUCAUAUCAUAUCCUUUUUCUAUAUAAAAAAUACAGCAUUACACUUUCUUUAUUGAUCUGGACUGUCCUUAUCUCAUUCUCUAAAUGUAAAACCUACCGUGCUGCUUCUUUUCCUAAACCCACUUUUAUAUCAUUUUCAGUUUUUCCCUGGUUUCUAAAUAAGAGUUCAGCCUUUCAUUAAUCAUUU